UUGUAACAGAGAGGACUAAUCAUCCAAGGAGAUUCCUGGGGGGCACACUGUCUGAAGAACAUCAUGUGUUCAAGCACAUUGAAGAUAGGACUCAGAUUUCUAGGGCUCAGAAGAUGAGGACAGGGAACUAAUACAAGAUUGGAUCACAGCCAAGUGACUGGGUGCAAAUGAUCAGAAUAUAAUGACAUUUAAAUGUUAUUUGCUAUCAAGAGCUACAGUCAUGUAAGAUUUCAGGAGAGAAGGCUUUCAUUGGUACCUGAUCUUUCACCCAUAUCUGCAAUGUCACCAGUGCAGUUUACAUAGUCGGGGCAGGAGUGUCCAGUAAGUCCACUGGCUGAUGUAAGAAAAUGUCAGUUACUCAGAACUUCUUGCAAAACUGCAUUUUUUCUACAGACAUAAAUGUAGAGAAAGCCAGAAUUAGAGAAAGAUCUAAGGGGUUAAAAUUGUGUGGACUUCCUGUCCUGUUUUCUUUUAUAUAAGAUAGGAAGAAAAAAGGGGUGGGGGGAAGAUAUGGAAGAAUAACAAAAGAAAGUAAAAGAUCUCUGAUUCCGGAUAAAUACGAUAAAGUGAUACAAAUCGUGAUCAAAGUGAUACAAAGAUGUGAUCUGAUUGGUGGCUGAACAAUUAUUAUGAGGUAGAUAAAUUUUUGUCUGGUAUUCACAACUUCAUAAAUUCAAACACUUUCAUAUCUACUGGGUCCCAAAGGUGUCUGCCAGAUGUCUUUAUUGAAAAUAUACUGCACAGAAGAAAAUUUAAAGGACAAAUCACUAAAAUAAAUCCCUGAAUUAUUCUCUAGUGUCUUUAUCUGUGACUUCAACUCCUCACUGUAUCAGAAAAAAAAAAAAAAAAAGGAAAAUCUAAAGUCUUG
rnacentral:lncRNA from 7 species